UGAUGAUGGUAAGGGAAAUUUUUGAGUAUAACCUUAAAUAUCGCCCAAGCUUGGUAGAUAUUCUCUCUAUCUUUCUAUCUAAAACUUAAGAUUUCACUCCUCAAGCG
rfam:Capsicum annuum cultivar Zunla-1 chromosome 2, whole genome shotgun sequence